rnacentral:rRNA from 2 species
ACGCUAGCUAUAUGCUUAACACAUGCAAGUCGAACGUGGCUUGCUUCCCCAUCCAUCCACGUGGGGGCAGAAGGGCAAGAGGAAUGGCCCCCUCCUAGCAAAAUGACGCGUGCUCACUCACUCAAAUGAUAUGCAUGCGGUUCGUGGGGCACAGCAAGCAAAGUGGCGAACGGGUGCGUAACGCGUGGGAAUCUGCCGAACAGUUCACUCCAAAUCCUGAAUAAUUCAUAAAGCAAGCUAAUUCGC